CCUACGGGUGGCAGCAGUGAGGAAUAUUGGUCAAUGGACGCAAGUCUGAACCAGCCAUGCCGCGUGCAGGAAGACGGCUCUAUGAGUUGUAAACUGCUUUUGUACGAGGGUAAACGCCGAUACGUGUAUCUGUCUGCAAGUAUCGUACGAAUAAGGAUCGGCUAACUCCGUGCCAGCAGCCGCGGUAAUACGGAGGAUUCAAGCGUUAUCCGGAUUUAUUGGGUUUAAAGGGUGCGUAGGCGGUCGGAUAAGUUAGAGGUGAAAUCCCGAGGCUCAACUUCGGAAUUGCCUCUGAUACUGUUCGGCUAGAGAGUAGUUGCGGUAGGCGGAAUGUAUGGUGUAGCGGUGAAAUGCUUAGAGAUCAUACAGAACACCGAUUGCGAAGGCAGCUUACCAAGCUACUUCUGACGUUGAGACACGAAAGCGUGGGGAGCAAACAGGAUUAGAUACCCCUGUAGUC
rnacentral:rRNA from 1 species